GUGGGGAAUAUUGGGCAAUGGAGGCAACUCUGACGCAGCCAUGCCGCGUGCAGGAAGAAGGCGCUACGCGUUGUAAACUGCUUUUAACCGGGAAGAAACCCCAGGACGUGUCCUGGGUUGACGGUACCGGAGGAAUAAGCACCGGCUAACUUCGUGCCAGCAGCCGCGGUAAUACGAAGGGUGCAAGCGUUAUCCGGAUUCAUUGGGUUUAAAGGGUGCGUAGGCGGAGCGUUAAGUCAGUGGUGAAAUCCUGCAGCUUAACUGUAGACUUGCCAUUGAUACUGGCGCUCUUGAGUGCGCUUGAAGUGGGCGGAAUGUGCCGUGUAGCGGUGAAAUGCUUAGAUAUGGCACAGAACACCAAUUGCGAAGGCAGCUCACUAAGGCGAUACUGACGCUGAGGCACGAAAGCGUGGGGAUCGAACAGGAUUAGAUACCCCUGUAGUCC
rnacentral:rRNA from 1 species